UACGUAGGGUUCGAGCGUUGUCCGGAAUUAUUGGGCGUAAAGGGCUCGUAGGCGGUUUGUCGCGUCGGGAGUGAAAACCUUGGGCUUAACUCAGGGCUUGCUUUCGAUACGGGCAGACUAGAGGUAUGCAGGGGAGAACGGAAUUCCUGGUGUAGCGGUGAAAUGCGCAGAUAUCAGGAGGAACACCGGUGGCGAAGGCGGGUCUCUAGGCCGACACUGACGCUGAGGAGCGAAAGCGUGGGGAGCGAACGGG
rnacentral:rRNA from 1 species